GUAAUAAUAAUGGUAAUAAGGGUAGUAAUGUCACUAAUAAGGGUAGUAAUGUUACUAAUAAGGAUAGUACUACUACUAAUGGUGCUAGUGCUACCGCUAAUGGUGUCAGUAAUGGCAAUAGUGCUAGUACUACCAAUAGCCCCAGUACUACCAAUAGUGCCAGUACUACCAAUAGUACCAGUACUACUAAUAGUACCAGUACUACUAAUAGUACCAGUAGUACUACUAAUAGUAGUAAUACUACUACGCAUAAUGGUUAUAAAAAUAAUGUCUCUUUUACUAUUAGUAAUAACAAAAUCGAUAAUGACAAUACAAAUGAACAUAAACAAGCUUUAGAAAAUGAAAAAAAAAAAAACAAAAGCAGUAAUUUUUUAAAAAAUAUUUUUUUGAAAAAGAAUAAUUUAACUUAUAUAAAUUUUAUGAAGGAUAUUUAUAGCAUAAUGUCAUCUGAUUCUGGUGAAAGUAACAUAAAAAAGAAUAAAAAUGAAUAUAAUAUAAAGAGUGAAAAAAUCAAAACAGCUAAAAACCGACAUAAUACUUAUUUGUUUUUGAAAAAUGAAGAUACUCAACUCGAGGGUGAUACAACUAGUGACAGUGAUAGCACAUUGUAUAUGUCUAGUGACAUGAACAAUUAUGUUAACAAAUUUAAUAAAAAUGUAAAAUUAGGUAAUGCUUUUAUUGAUACUAAUACCAUCAAAAAAAAAGAAAAUAGUAUGUCUAAAUAUGACAAUUCGUUAUUUAAUGGUUAUAAUUUUUUUGAUAAUAAUACAAAACAUAAUAAUGAUAUUAAUUCUGAAGAAUCUAAUGAUUUUUAUAAAGACGUAUAUGUUGAUGUUUGUUUACAAGAGUGUGCUACAGAAUGUGCUGGCGCAUGCCUAAAAGAAUGUGUUUCCGAAUGCGCAACUGAAUAUGUAGAUGUAUGUCUACAUGAGAGCACAAACGAAGUAAACAUCGACUAUUAUAAUAAAACAAAUUUAAACGACACAUAUUGUCCAGAUGAUAUAAGUUUUAAUAAAAACGAUAUGAACAAUUUUAAAUGUUUUGAUAAGAAUAAUGACUAUAAUAAAGUAUUAACAGUUUUUGAAAAUAAGUGUGUUUCUGUUCCUAUAGAUUCGAAUAAUGAUAAAAAAAACAUAUUUUUUUUUAAUAAUACUAACAGAAAAGAUAAUAACACAUAUGUUGAGGAUGAUGCAUUUUAUACACCUCUUGAUAAUAGGACAAAUGAAAAUAGUACUGCUUAUAAAAAAAAUUCCAAUUUAAUGAAUGAUAUCAAUUUUGAGUAUACAGUGGGUUAUCAUAAUAAUUUAUAUAAUAAAAUUAUGUAUACUGAAGAUAGAACAGUUGAUAUGUCUGACGUGGUUAAAUAUGAUUGUAGUACUAAAGACAAUAAUAAUAAAAAUAGUAGUUUUAAUAAAAUUAAUUAUUGUAAUUUGGAAUUUAAUUUAGAACCAGAGUUAGAGCAUAUGUGUAAGAAGUUGUUGAAACCAUGUUAUGAGGAAGAGUGUUGUAAUGAUAAAACUGAUAAUACUACUACAGUAAAUGAAAGUGUGUUAUUACAGAAAGAAACAGAAAAUGAUCCUAUUAUAUUUAAAAAUAAUAAUACUAAAAACUUGUGGGUAUAUAAUAAUAAUAUAAAUAAUAAUUUAAAAAGUGUUGAAACUGGUAUUAUUACAAAUAGUAACAGUUUUUCUGGAUCUUUAAAAGAUAACAACAAUAAAAAUGUUUGGAGCAUGUGUUAUAAUAGUAGCAAUGGUGUUGGAGUUAAUAAUAAAAAUUGUAAUGGUAAUAAUGUUACUACUGAUAGUAGUGUUACUAUUAUUAAUAAUAUAAGACCUGUUAGUAACAAUAAUAAUAAGAAUGGACGUGACAAUGAAACAUAUAUUAAAAUAAAUAACAGUCAUAAAAGUGAUUUGAUUAAUAAAAAUAAAAAGAAUAUAAAAUAUAAUGUUUGUUAUAAUAAUACAAAUGAUAGUAGUUUCAAUUUUAAAUGCAAGUGUAAAAUCAAAAAUAAAAAUUUCAGUAACAGUAUUAGAAGUAGUAGUAGUAAUAGUAGUAGUGGUAGUAGUAGUAUUGGUAGUACUAGUAAUGGUAGUACUAGUAGUAGUAACAGUAACAGUGGUAGUACUAGUAGUACCACUACAAUUAGUAAUGUUAUGAUGUCCUAUAACAAUUCUAUUGAAGAUAACAGUACAUGUAAUAGGCAUGAACAUGAUGUCCUUUGCGGUGAUACGAACUAUAAUAGUAGUACUGAUUUUUGUAAUGAUUCUGGUAAUGAUUUUAGUAGUUAUAGUACUAAUGACUGUGUUGAUACCACAUUAAAUAUAAAAAAAGACAAUGAACAUAAUAAUAUUUAUAAUAAAAAAGAAAAAGAAGAUACUAUUUUUUGUACAAAAUAUUUUUUAGAUUCUUCUAUUUUUUCAAACAAUACUACAGUUAAUGAAAAUAUAUUCGAAAAUACAACUUUUAACAUAACUGAUAAUAAUAGUACUAUAUAUAGUAGUGAUGGAAGUGAUAAUACUAACAAUAGCGGUAAUGGUCUUUAUGAAAACUUAAAAGAUA
rnacentral:lncRNA from 1 species